AAUGAACGCUGGCGGCGCGCCUAAUACAUGCAAGUCGAGCGGGAAGACGUAGCAAUACGUUUGUAAAGCGGCGAACGGGUGAGGAAUACAUGGGUAACCUACCCUCGAGUGGGGAAUAACUAGCCGAAAGGUUAGCUAAUACCGCGUACGCUUCUUGGACUUCGGUUCAGGGAGGAAAGCGAUGCCGAGGGUAUCGCGCUCUUGGAUGGGCUCAUGUCCUAUCAGCUUGUUGGGAGGUAACGGCUCACCAAGGCUUCGACGGGUAGCUGGUCUGAGAGGACGAUCAGCCACACUGGCACUGCGACACGGGGCCAGACUCCUACGGGAGGCAGCAGUAAGGAAUAUUGCGCAAUGGGCGAAAGCCUGACGCAGCGACGCCGCGUGGGGGAGUGAAGGUC
rnacentral:rRNA from 1 species